rnacentral:hammerhead_ribozyme from 1 species
ACUUUGCUGACGAGUUCCAAGUAGGACGAAAUCUAGGUCCAAGAU